AAGAGCGCCCUGCUCAUCUUCUUCUUCUUCACAUAAACGCACACACAUAGAAAGAAUAGAAGGGAGAGAUUGGAUUUCAAAAAGGAAAAGAAAAAAAAAAUUCUCCCCUAUUUCGUUACUUGUUUGCUUCAAAUUAGAGCCAAUCAAUGAUGCCCCUUAUUUUGAUCUUCAACAAGCGAAGAUACAGUCCAAACUAAGUCAAGUUGAUGGAGUUUCGAGGUUCCGGCGAGGUCACCUUUAGAUCCGGUCAUUGUUCAGUUUGUUCACGCCACAAUUCCGAUUCUGGGUUUGCAUCAUUAAUACAAAGGAAAUCACUGAUUUAGUUGCUGUUAUCUGCUGAAAUUUUGGGCUGAGCUUCAUUCAAUUUGGUCUCGACUUUAUUCACUUCUAUUCAAGUUUUCUGGUUCAACCAGUUUCAGAUCUGGGUUUGGUUUGGUUUAGCUGAUUUUCCUUGCAAAUGAGCUAUGCAAAUUCUCUAUGCAUCAUGAAACCACAUUUAUGGAUUGCUGCUGGCUAAUUGUAUGCAUAGUUGAAGUUAAAAAGGCCCCUCACCAGUUUGGACACUUUCUCUAGUUUAAUUUAGUAUAGAAAAAGAGUGUAAUUAAAAGAGAUGCUACAUUUCAAUUUAGUUUGUUUCUUUCUGCCA